UUACGUUGUAGAUGUCUAUGGGCUCCAGU
rnacentral:piRNA from 1 species